AGAGAGAGAGAGAGAGAGAGAGACAUAGUUAGCUAGUUAGCUAGAUAGACAGAUAAAAACAGAGAGAUAGGGCGAGAAAGACAGAGACAGAGACACAGAGAUGGGGGACAGCACAGAGUGACAUUGGUGUCACUAAUGAGGCAGCCAUCAUGUCUAGGACAUAGAAGUCUUGUUUCAUCUCUCCAGUUAGGGACUUCCACAUUUCAGUGACACCAGUAAUAAUCUCAGCGGCAGAAAGAAGGCCCUGGAACCACGGCGAACGCUGUGUAAUCUGUGGAGAGAUUGCUACAAUGCGCACUUUUAUGCAUCCUCCCCCGUACCCAAUCCAGCAGCGUGGUAGGAUGGGAAGGAGAAUCAAGGAUCAGACAGGUCAAACAAGUUGCUUGAAGUUUCACGGUGAGCAGUUGUGUGUUCAACAGUGAUGGACACCCGUUUCCAUCUUGACCUGUCUCCAAGGCCAAGGAUCCUUCCUGGACAUCACAUAGUCAUGCCAAGGGAUUCACUGGUAACUGGGGCCCAAUAAAGCAUGCCAUGUCCACACUGACUCAACUCCCUUUCUGGAGACUCUCGCUGAGCGCCCUUAGAGACUGAGACCUCUGCUGUUGCAGACUACUGAAAUUUCCUUGGGAAUCUGACUCUGGGUGGAGGGAAAGACUGAAGCCCUGGUGUCCUGGAGGAAUUUGCUUUGCACAAAAAGACUGUACAGUUUUGACAACUGGGGUGAACAUGUGCACAUUCCUGCUUGGUCUUUUGGUCUAUAUAAAACUGUAACACUGUGAAGAAAAGGCCAGGCUGGCCUAGUGGGAAACAAACCUCAUUUUCCGUCAAUUUGAUUUCUAGUCCCUUUAAAGGUGCUAGGGGUUAAGUGAACCUAGGUCACUGGGCAACAACUUUGGAGAAGCCAACCAGGAGGCAAACUUGUAGCUCACUGACCCCUUGGCAAGAGGGAGGUAGAUUCCCAGUGGGGAAGUUACCUCAUUCUCUGGCCCUUGGGUGCCAGUUACCUGUGAAUACAUAUUGAUGAGCUGAUAGAAGAAAAGGGGAUUUGGAUUCUGGCCUUGCUUGUGAAGAACACUCUAUUUGUUGGAUUUUAUGAAUGCUUUGGGGUGAUCCUACCUCUCAUCGACUGUAUCUGAAUAUCCCUGAGGGGAGCCCUAGUCCGUGUUAAUCAAGGGGGCUGGUGACUCUGACGUCUGUAAAUGACAGCAAGCCACUUGUGCUAGGACACAUUGAGAGGCCUGCACAAGGAUGAUUCUGGACACUUUAAGAAGAUGCUGAAGAGGAAGAUGCCUUCCUAGUACACCAAGAAAACAAAUCGAAAUGAAAAGAGGACUAUGGAACCGAACAGAGAAUUCUCAGAAGAAAUAUGAAUAGG